UUAUAACGCUAUUUACUUUUAUUUUUAUUAGGGAAUUUCUCAUCUCGUUUCGACCCAAUUAUGAAAUUCUUUGUCCUAUUUUCGAUAAAAAAAUAAACAAAAAUAGAGAUUAAAAUAUUAAAGGGAGAUAGGAAGCUGCUAUCACUCCUUACGAUUCCCCUAAAAUUUAUUAAGGAAAACGAUGUGCUUUGCCGGUUGUUUGGGUAAAAGUAACUGAAAGUGGUCUUGACACUUCUUUUUUCCCGAGAACCAAACAAUCCGCAAAAGAGAAAAUAAUUCAUUAAAGAUUUAAGCGAGGUUUUAUCAAGAAGGCUCUAGAAAACGAAACCCUAAUUCCGAAAAUCCAAUGGAACAUUCUCCAGCUUCUGAUGCUCAGCCCGUAUGUGCUCAGGAAGCUCUUGAUCUUCUCAAUUGCGUUACUCAAUCUCCUUACGAUCAAGACAAAUGCAUCCGUCUUUUGAAUUCUUUGCGAGACUGCGUUCUCACCAAGAAAGUGAAGAAGUUUUCAAUAGCUGAUCAGGAAGCAAAGCCAAGUGACAAGAAAAUUUGAUUGAAUUAUGUAUUGUUUUGGUAGAAAAUACUUGGAUGAAUUGUGUUGAUUGCUACAUUUUAUGAGAGUCUUCUUCUUCACUCUAUACACUUUUGUAAUUUGUAUAUCAAAUUCAGACGCUAACCUUUCUUCAUUAUUGAUUUGUUAAAAAAGAUGUUACUUUACUAUGAUUGCAUUUGCUACCACUUUUAAGGUUCAAUAAAGAUAACAUUUCCUCCCUA